AUGCAAGUCUAUGACUGUUUGUUAAUUGUGAGCCUUUCUUGUAUCUCCUUGAUACUUGCUAAGGACUGUUUAUUGAGUUGUAACUCGUGUGCUACACCAAAGCUUUGAAGCAAGGUUGUAGUUUUGUUUGAAGGUAACUUCAUCAUUUUGUGUUUAAUCUGAGAAUCACAGGGGUUGUGAUUGAUUGUAGGAUAAUGAGAUGGGAUCUCAGAUCUAGGAGUUCCUAGGUUGAAGUGUAGACGGGUAGGUCCUAGGUUUUAAGUUGUAAACGAGGAGUUUGCUGAGAACUUUAGAAUAAGGACUACACUAGUGGAUUUCCUUCCUGACUUGGUAGCCCCCAGAGUAGGUGUGUUUGUCACCGAACUAGGUUAACAA
rnacentral:lncRNA from 1 species